UACGUGUCUAAUCUCCCUUUCAAAGCCUGAUCUUGUCAGAUGUCUGAAGCUAAGCAGGGCUGGGCCUCGUUAGUACGUGGAUAGGAGACCGCAGGGAAUACCAGGUGCCACAGUGG
rnacentral:rRNA from 1 species